rnacentral:rRNA from 1 species
AGAGUUUGAUCCUGGCUCAGGAUGAACGCUGGCGGCGUGCCUAACACAUGCAAGUCGAGCGAUUCUCUUCGGAGAAGAGCGGCGGACGGGUGAGUAACGCGUGGGUAACCUGCCUCAUACACAUGGAUAACAUACCGAAAGGUAUGCUAAUACAAGAUAAUAUAAGAGAUUCGCAUGGGUUUCUUAUCAAAGCUCCGGCGGUAUGAGAUGGACCCGCGUCUGAUUAGCUAGUUGGUAAGGUAACGGCUUACCAAGGCGACGAUCAGUAGCCGACCUGAGAGGGUGAUCGGCCACAUUGGAACUGAGACACGGUCCAAACUCCUACGGGAGGCAGCAGUGGGGAAUAUUGCACAAUGGGCGAAAGCCUGAUGCAGCAACGCCGCGUGAGCGAUGAAGGCCUUCGGGUCGUAAAGCUCUGUCCUCAAGGAAGAUAAUGACGGUACUUGAGGAGGAAGCCCCGGCUAACUACGCGCCAGCAGCCGCGGUAAUACGUAGGGGGCUAGCGUUAUCCGGAUUUACUGGGCGUAAAGGGUGCGUAGGUGGUUUCUUAAGUCAGGAGUGAAAGGCUACGGCUCAACCGUAGUAAGCUCUUGAAACUGGGAAACUUGAGUGCAGGAGAGGAAAGUGGAAUUCCUAGUGUAGCGGUGAAAUGCGUAGAUAUUAGGAGGAACACCAGUAGCGAGGGCGGCUUUCUGGACUGUAACUGACACUGAGGCACGAAAGCGUGGGGGGCAAACAGGAUUAGAUACCCUGGUAGUCCACGCCGUAAACGAUGAGUACUAGGUGUCGGGGGUUACCCCCCUCGGUGCCGCAGCUAACGCAUUAAGUACUCCGCCUGGGGAGUACGCUCGCAAGAGUGAAACUCAAAGGAAUUGACGG